AAGUCGUAACAAGGUUUCCGUAGGUGAACCUGCGGAAGGAUCAUUACCAAAGAACAACUGGUUGGGUUGUUGCUGGCCCCUCUCCCUGGAGGGGCACUGUGCACGCCUUGCCAAUUCACUUUGCUCACCUGUGCACCUCCUUGUAGGCCAGGAUCACCAGAGAGGAAGAAGGGGGGGGGGGGAAACGUGUCUCCUGUCGGAGUGCUCAACUUCUUUUCUUUUGCUUGGUGGAGGGAUCUGCUGUUGUGUCCUCACACGGAAUGGGUAUCUGUGAGAGAACAGAUAUAGACGGCUUUUUCCUUGCUCACGUCUGGCCUAUGCCUUUAUUAAACCUGUAACAUCUGUAUCUGUAUCUGUAUGUGUAUUUGAACAUGUGGGAUAACCACGAUUGUUUUUGAACACCAAUACAACUUUCAACAACGGAUCUCUUGGCUCUC
rnacentral:misc_RNA from 1 species